UAAGUUUGGUGUGUGCUUUAGGUAUAUUAUUGUGUACUAUGCUGCAGAGGCAGCUCUACACUUGCACUGCAUCCUAUAUGUUCGGAGGAUUGGUGGGCACAGAGCAAGCCCAAGACAUUGUGCUGCCUGGGUCCAAGAGUGAAAAGCAUUUUUCAGCAUUCACAAUACAGUAAAUCUGACAUGCUAUAUUUAUUCUAUGGGUCAAUACGAUUCUAAUGAUUCCAAACUUGGAUCAUUUUUGUUUUGUUUUAAUAGGUGUUUUGAAUUUUUUUUGCGUUAAUGCCAUUCACUGUGCAUGAUCAGGAACAUCAUAAUUUUAUAUUUUGGAUAAUGGCACAUGCGGCGAUACCAAAUAUGUUUGUUUAUUUUUUUUUUUUUUACAGUGUUUUAUUUGAAAAUGAGAAAAGGGGAAUCAUUGAAACUUUUAUUGGGUAUAUAUUUAAAAAAAAGUUUUUUUAACUUUUUUUUUGACACCCUUAGGGGCCUAUUAUAAGCCAUCAGUAGAUGGCUUGCAUAGAACAAUGUAAUGCUAUUGCAUUACAUUGAUCUAUGUUUUUGGUGCCCAAUUGCUAAGGGCUGCAUAGGGCAGCCUUAAGCAUUCACCGAUCCACGGAGCAUCGGGACGGAUGGGUAAGUCCCGAUUCUUCCCCAGCAACUCAUCUGCAGCCCGCAAUUACAUUGCAGAGCUGCAGAUGGUUCCCCUAGACCCCAGGGAUUACCGUUAUUUAAUAUAUAUGUGGUGAGGUCAGAUGUUAUUACCCUAGGGCCGCAUGGCAUUAACGUCUUGUGUUCGUGAUGCCUGGGCGUGGUUUAUCAACACCACCCGAAGGUAUACCGCCGGAUCUAUGCAGCUAAAUAUAUAACUAUACAGCUAAAUAUAUACCAGAGGGGGACAAAUAUAAACGAUUAAAACUAAAUCCUACAUGGCUGACAAAUGAUGUUAAAAGAGCAAUAAACAACAAAAAAAAUAGCCUUCAAAAAAUACAAAUCUGAUGGGUCAGCUAUAACAUUUAAACAGUACAAAGAGCUUAAUAAAAUCUGUAAAAAUGUAAUAAAAACAGCAAAAAUUCUAAACGAGAGACAGGUGGCCAAAGAAAGCAAAACGAAUCCUAAAUAUUUUUUUAGAUAUAUAAAUGCAAAAAUACCAAGGACAGAGCAUGUAGGACCCCUUAAUAAUGAUAAUGGGGAGGUUGUCACAGGCGAUCAAGAGAAAGCGGAGCUACUGAAUGGGUUCUUUAGUUCUGUAUACACUAUGGAAAAAGGAGCUGACAUUGGCCAGGUCAGUGCUGGUAACACAUCAUGUAAUGUACUGAACUGGCUUAAUGUAGAGAUGGUACAAGGUAAGUUAAGUGAUAUAAAUGUAAGCAAAUCUCCAGGGCCAGAUGGAUUGCACCCAAGAGUUCUUAGAGAGGUAAGUUCAGUAAUAUCUGUACCCCUGUUCAUGAUAUUUAGAGAUUCUCUGGUGUCUGGUAUUGUGCCAAGGGACUGGCGCAAGGCGAAUGUGGUGCCAAUCUUCAAAAAGGGCUCUAGGUCUUCCCCAGGAAACUAUAGACCGGUAAGUUUAACGUGCAUUGUGGGUAAAUUGUUUGAAGGACUUAUAAGGGAUUACAUACAGGAAUACAUACGGGAUAAUUGUAUUAUAAGUGAUAGCCAGCAUUGGUUUACUAAGGAUAGAAGUUGUCAAACCAAUCUAAUUUUCUUUUAUGAAGAGGUGAGUAGAAGCCUUGACAGAGGAAUGGCUGUGGAUAUAGUGUUUCUGGAUUUUGCUAAAGCAUUUGAUACUGUCCCUCAGACGUCUGACAGGUAAGUUAAGGUCUUUGGGUUUGGAAAUUUUGGUUUGUAACUGGAUUGAACACUGGCUCAUGGAUCGUACCCAGAGAGUGGUGGUCAAUGAUUCGUACUCUGAUAGGUCCCCAGUAAUUAGUGGUGUACCCCAAGGUUCAGUACUGGGCCCGCUGUUGUUUAAUUUAUUUAUCAAUGAUAUAGAGGAUGGUAUUAACAGCUCUGUUUCUAUCUUUGCAGAUGACACCAAGCUUUGUAGCACGGUACAGUCUAUAGAGGAUGUGCAUAAGUUACAAGAUGACUUGGAUAGACUAAGUGUCUGGGCAUCCACUUGGCAAAUGAGGUUCAAUGUGGAUAAAUGUAAAGUUAUGCAUCUGGGUACUAAUAACCUGCAUGCGUCGUAUGUCUUAGGGGGAAUUAAACUGGCAGAGUCACUGGUAGAGAAGGAUCUGGGUGUACUUGUAGAUCACAGACUACAGAAUAGCAUGCAAUGUCAGGCUGCUGCUUCCAAGGCCGGCAGGAUAUUGUCAUGUAUCAAAAGAGGCAUGGACUUGAGGGACAGGGACAUAAUACUCCCCCUUUAUAAAGCAUUGGUACGGUCUCACCUGGAAUAUGCUGUUCAGUUUUGGGCACCUGUCCAUAAAAGGGACACUGCAGAGUUGGAAAGGGUGCAGAGACGCGCGACUAAACUAAUAUGGGGCAUGGAUCAUCUUAGCUAUGAGGAGCGAUUAAAGGAAUUACAAUUGUUUAGUCUUGAGAAGAGACGUUUAAGGGGGGAUAUGAUAAACGUAUAUAGGUAUAUUAAUGGCCCAUACAAAAAAUAUGGAGAAAAACUGUUCCAGGUUAAACCCCCCCAAAGGACGAGGGGGCACUCCCUCUGUCUGGAGAAGAAAAAGUUUAGUCUCAAGGGGCGACACGCCUUCUUUACCGUGAGGACUGUGAAUUUAUGGAACGGUCUACCUCAGGAACUGGUCACAGCAGGAACAAUUAACAGCUUUAAAACAGGAUUAGAUACAUUCCUGGAACAAAAUAACAUUAAUGCUUAUGAAGAAAUAUAAAAUCCCAUCCCUUCCCCAAUAUCGCGCCACACCCCUACCCCUUAAUUCCCUGGUUGAACUUGAUGGACAUAUGUCUUUUUUCGACCGUACUAACUAUGUAACUAUGGAUCCUGGGCUAGGCGCAGGGGCAAAUAAUGACUCCGAUGCCAAGUUACGGAAAACGGCAGCUUUACUGAGGUAGACAGGUGUAAUAGUCUUGCCAGCUAAGUUAGGCCCAAGGAGUUGACCAGUGACUUCAGAGACCUUAGGGCUCGCUGGGACUUUUAGUGGAUUUGGACAAUUUGCUGCAGGACCACACUGACUGUAUACAGACUGAUCUUGACUGACUUGACUAGACUGACUUCACAGACUUCACCCCGUAUGUAGCUUACCAGGUUUUGAUGUUCACCUGUGGGGUAGGGGACUUGUGGCUGCGUGGUAGGCUUUAGGCCUCCUUAGGACACCAGACACUCUCUCUCAGGACUUGACCUCACUGUACUCAGCAAAAACUCAGAGACUGAACUAGCUCCACCCAGGGAUUAUAUGGGGGAGACUCUGGAGGGGACCCAUAGGUCACCCUAUAGUCACCUGAUCACUGGUACCUUCCUUGGUUACAACACAUGAGAACAGUAUUUAAAGGUACAUAACAAUAUAUACACAUUAACAUAGACACUUAUUAACCAUUUAUGGAACAUAGGUGAAGGGGAGGCCCAGGGGUCACUGAAAUAGUCUGCCUGACAGGGCAGCAAGGGUACAGGGGUGCAACUCCUGUACUGGGCCACCACAAACUUCCCCUCUUAACGACAGCCGUUCUUGCCGCACAGUCCUGGAGGGCAUAUGAAGUGGCCACGGAGGCCUGAUAACAACAGUAGAAACAGUUCCUGGGGCAUUUGAAUUAAUGUCCUUCACAGGGCUGGUGAACUGGGGAAAGAGUCCAUGUGGCAUUGCAAUUAACGUCCUUACAUGUUUUAUUUUGCUCAUAACUGCUUGCUGGAAAAUAAUGAUGAGCUCGGAUCGGGCUGCCGGAGGCUUUCUACCCGAAUGGCUAUGCUAAUCGGGACCUUCGGUUAUAGCUACUUCUCCCCAUAGCAUUAGACUAGUAAAUACACAUUUUUUUGACAACAUGUAAGAAUGUUACCUAUAUACACAGUAGCUCUGCCAUGGUAUGUGUUACUUACACCUCCAGAAGAACUCUCUGGCCACAAGAACAUCCUGUACACGAUGGACAUAACUCAAUAGACAUUAGACAUUUGUUGACUGAUGUGGAGUAAAUAUAUAGCCUAGUUAGCUACAUUCCUGACUAGACAUGUGACAUUUGACUGUUAGAUACAUAAUAGAUGCUAUGUACAUUACUGACUAUCUGUACACGAAAUGAUAUUGGAAGUAAUUAUGCUAUACUGACUAGGCAUUACUAUGAUAUAUACAGAUAAUUUUUAUAUAUAAAGGUAUGUUUAUUCUCUAUACCUGGCAGGUAUUUGGCCUUGUGUGGACCUUUGGCAUCUGCACAGCACCAACAGAAUUAGGAACUGACGGAACUUCUGAAACUUCAGCAGGCUCUUCUUCGGCAAACACAGGGAGCUGGAAUUUGUUCAGGAGUUGCUGGAAUCGGGACUGCUGGUACUUGAACUGGAGAAGCUGGAGUUAUUGCUGGCACUCUGGGAGCAGGUACAUAAGCAGGAGCCAACGGAGAUAGAGUGGGAACUGGCGUGUUGACUAAUGUUGGCUGGACCAGGUGCUGGAGGCAAACAGAUGAGUGUUGGCUGACUUAGGGAGAACAUUAGGAAAUCCAUGGAUUGGGUGGAUCCCUUCGCCAGGAACAUAUUCCCUCGCAGGUGUGACAUCUGGAGGAGGCGGUGGAGGAAGUACUGGUUGCGACUGGUGUAGGCAAUCUCUCUCUGGUCCAUCUUGAACUUGGGACAGGACAUCUCCUAGACCUUCAAAACCGCCAUCAGUAUAUAGCCGGAACAGCUGACUGUAGUCUGGAUAUGCCAAGAUGGGUGGUUCGAUCAGCAGACUUUAAGAGCUCGGUAUCCGGUGAUGAGCAGCCUUGCGGACAAUAAGGAGACAGUAACGACAAAUUCCGGUACCGGAGACUUGGUUUUGAUGAUUGAUGGUGUUUGCAGAGCUCACACUGCAGCGCUGACUUUGCAGGUGACAGCCGGAGAGGAGCCGGAACUUCCAAGAUGGCUGCGCCCAGGGAACUUCCUGUUUGUGUCCGGCCAGGAAAGUCUUCCCCUGUGCAACACGGGGCGGUCUUUUGAGCCUCCUCGCUGGAUUGAAGAGGCGUCACCGCUGGGGACUGACGUGGGCGAAGCUGCGACCACGCGCACGGGAAACGCUCGACCAGAUUCUCUCUUUCAGGAUUUACUGACCAUUGAGAGCUCAGAAAUGUGGAAAGAGUUUUGUCCUUCAGCAAAAGGUUGUGUGAAACUGUACAUCAUGGUACGAGAGCAGAAGUCCUAAGACCAGACACCUCUAUAGGACGUUGUUCUGUUUGACAUAAGGGAACAAUGGGCCUUGCUCAUAAGUCACAAAUAUUUCUACUGCUGGGUACAACAUGGUCUUCUUCCUCUGAAGACUCCCUGUAAAUAGCACUUGUACACUUUAAUUAAGCUUGUAAAAUAUUUACUAUGUUUAAUAAUAAAGCUGUUUUUCAGUAUGAGAUGUGAAUAUUGUAGCUGGCUGACAAUGGUAUACUUUUGUUUAUAUUGGUUUAUGUUCUUGUUGCUGUCUUAUUGUUUUUUUUUUUUUAAAUAACUUCUACUGUAUAUACCUAUGUACAGUAUGGUCACUUAGGAAAAGAUAAUAUACAUAAUGAAACUUCUUUGAGAAGACUCUAUAGGGGAAAAAUAUUAAGAGUGGUGUAGGUGAAUGAUUGUGCUAUAACACAUUUAAUUUUGUGUGGUGGUAAUGUGUAUGUGCAGCAUAUUUAUUAAAUGGUUGCAUGGUAUGUGAUAAAUAAGGUUAUAUGUUUUCUCCUCUGCAAUAUUUUCUCCUCGACUUUUUCAUCUGUUACACCAAAAUAUGUGACUUUUCAC